AUACGUAGGUGGCAAGCGUUGUCCGGAUUUACUGGGUGUAAAGGGUGCGUAGGCGGGGCAGCAAGUUGGAUGUGAAAUCCUCGGGCUCAACUCGAGAACUGCAUUCAAAACUGUUGCUCUUGAGUGCAGGAGAGGCAAGCGGAAUUCCCGGUGUAGCGGUGAAAUGGGCAGAGAUCGGGAGGAACAACAGUGGCAAAAGCGGCUUGAUGAGGUGCUCCUGGCGCUGAGGCACGAAAGCAUGAGUAGCAAACAGGAAUAGAAACCAUUGGAUGCCAUGCUGUACACGAUGAAUGCGAGGUGUAGGAGGUAUCGAACCCAUCCAAGUCGCAGUACACAUAGUAAUCAUUCCGACUAGGGAAUGCGGUUCGAAAAUUUCAAGUAUAAGGAUCUGUCGGGG
rnacentral:rRNA from 1 species